rnacentral:rRNA from 1 species
UCGCUGCCCGGAACUGAGCCGUUUCGAGAAGAACAGGGACUGCUGAUUGGUGGCUCUUUGGAGCUGCCUCUUGGUGGAAACUGUUUUAAUCGCAGUGGCUUGAACCGGGCAA